rnacentral:lncRNA from 1 species
AGAAUCAGCGAACCUUCUCCAUUAUUCAAAGCAAAUCAAGGGGGACUAUGGUAACUCUGGUUCCAGUCCAAACGAUCCUUCAUCUCCCUCGCCUCCACAGCAUCGGGCACUCCAUCUACCUAGACACCAAAACGCUAACUUCUCCGACCUUCCAAUGCCAACAUGUAAGCCAGUCCAUUAGCCAUACGGGGCACAAAACGGUAUGUAACUUUAUCAAAUUGAGUUUCUAGAAUACUAAUGUGGUGUAUAAUCGGCCUAAUAAUCGAUAUAUCCUUCUCAUUUUUCUUGAUACUUUUGAUAACUAUUAGGGAAUCACCUUUCACAAUCAGUCGUCGGAAGCCCAUCGCACUUGCAAAAAUUAACGCCCUUUUGCAUGCCCUUGCUUUAGCCACAAAGGCAUCAACAACAUCUGCAAAAAGAUAAGUUUCCGCCCCUAUAAUUUCUCCUGUUGAAUCUUUGGCUAG